GUAGGUGGCAAGCGUUGUCCGGAAUUAUUGGGCGUAAAGCGCGCGCAGGCGGGGUCCUUUAAGUCUGAUGUGAAAGCCCACGGGCUCAACCGUGGAGGGUCAUUGGAAACUGAGGGACUUGAGUACAGAAGAGGAAAGCGGAAUUCCACGUGUAGCGGUGAAAUGCGUAGAGAUGUGGAGGAACACCAGUGGCGAAGGCGGCUUUCUGGUCUGUAACUGACGCUGAGGCGCGAAAGCGUGGGGAGCAAACAGGAUUAGAUACCCUGGUAGUCCACGCCGUAAACGAUGAGUGCUAAGUGUUAGGGGGUUUCCGCCCCUUAGUGCUGCAGCUAACGCAUUAAGCACUCCGCCUGGGGAGUACGACCGCAAGGUUG
rnacentral:rRNA from 1 species